GGUGAGGUGGCCGAGUGGUCGAAGGCGCACGCCUGGAACGCGUGUAGGCGGUGUCCCCGUCUCGAGGGUUCGAAUCCCUCCCUCACCGCCA
rnacentral:tRNA from 1 species